rnacentral:tRNA from 1 species
GGGGAUGUGGCUUAGUGGUAGAGCAUUUGCCUGGCAUACAUGAGGCCCUGGGUUUGAUUCCCAGCACUGCAA